CAUAUUUACUAUGACACAAUUUGAGCUUGAGACAGCAAGAAAGUCUAACCCAUUCUAGUGUUCUCUCUGCCAUGAGCCAGCAGCUGUUAUAUAGACCUAAACAAU
rnacentral:snoRNA from 1 species